AUUUUCUGAUACAGAAAAUACACAAUUAGUUAUUCUCAUACGUAUCAGAUACGCUUCUAAGAGAUCCGAUAGAUUCAUCACACCACACACAUAUAUGAUUCAAACUGCAAGCAGCUCUAGAUACACUCUAGAUAACUUGAAUGCACGACGAUCCACAUCACACUCGAUCACCUUAUUCCUCGCAAAUUCCUAUAUUUUAAUCGGCAAAAAAUGAAAUAUUGAAGAACAUGACUGCAUUACACAAAAGGUUAGCAAUUUUCGUACGGAGAACGC
rnacentral:lncRNA from 1 species